rnacentral:rRNA from 1 species
AUUGAACGCUGGCGGCAGGCCUAACACAUGCAAGUCGAGCGGAGCGGCGGACGGGUGAGUACUGCCUAGGAAUCUGCCUGGUAGUGGGGGAUAACGUCCGGAAACGGGCGCUACUACCGCGUACUCUCAGAUGAGCCUAGGUCGGAUUAGCUAGUUGGUGGGGUAAAGGCCUACCAAGGCGACGAUCCGUAACUGGUCUGAGAGGAUGAUCAGACACACGGGAACUGCGACACGUUCCAGACUCCUACGGGAGGCAGCAGUGGGGAAUAUUGUACAAUGGGCGAAAGCCUGAUCCAGCCAUGCCGCGUGUGUGAAGAAGGUCGUCGGAUUGUAAAGCACUGUAAGUUGGGAGGCGUUACCAACAGAAUAAGCACCGGCUAACUCCGUGCCAGCCGCCGCGGUAAUUC